rnacentral:rRNA from 1 species
AACGAGCGCAACCCUUGUCCUUAGUUGCCAGCAUUCAGUUGGGCACUCUAAGGAGACUGCCGGUGUCAAACCGGAGGAAGGUCGGGAUGACGUCAAGUCCUCAUGGCCCUUAUGUCCAGGGCUACACACGUGCUACAAUGGCCGGUACAAAGGGCGCAAGACCGCGAGGUGGAGCAAAUCCCAAAAAACCGGUCUCAGUUCGGAUUGGAGUCUGCAACUCGACUCCAUGAAGUUGGAAUCGCUAGUAAUCGCGUAUCGGCAUGACGCGGUGAAUACGUUCCCGGGCCUU